rnacentral:rRNA from 1 species
AGUGAACGCUGGCGGUAGGCCUAACACAUGCAAGUCGAACGGCAGCACAGUAAGAGCUUGCUCUUACGGGUGGCGAGUGGCGGACGGGUGAGGAAUACACCGGAAUCUACUUUUUCGUGGGGGAUAACGUAGGGAAACUAACGCUAAUACCGCAUACGACCUACGGGUGAAAGCAGGGGAUCUUCGGACCUUGCGCGAUUGAAUGUGCCGAUGUCGGAUUAGCUAGUUGGCGGGGUAAAGGCCCACCAAGGCGACGAUCCGUAGCUGGUCUGAGAGGAUGAUCAGCCACACUGGAACUGAGACACGGCCCAGACUCCUACGGGAGGCAGCAGUGGGGAAUAUUGGACAAUGGGCGCAAGCCUGAUCCAGCCAUACCGCGUGUGUGAAGAAGGCCUUCGGGUUGUAAAGCCCUUUUGUUGGGAAAGAAAAGCAGCAGGUUAAUACCCCGCUGUUCUGACGGUACCCAAAGAAUAAGCACCGGCUAACUUCGUG